rnacentral:sRNA from 1 species
AGAAAACCACAGGGCGCGGGGCCAGGGCGGCGGCCCCCAGGGAGUUGGCAGGAUGGCAGAGGGCAAGGCAGGCGGCGCGGCCGGCCUCUUCGCCAAGCAAGUGCAGAAGAAGUUUAGCAGGGCCCAGGAGAAGGUGCUGCAGAAAUUGGGGAAAGCUGUAGAAACCAAAGAUGAACGAUUUGAACAAAGCGCUAACAACUUCUACCAACAACAGGCAGAAGGCCACAAGCUGUACAAGGACCUGAAGAACUUCCUUAGUGCAGUCAAAGUGAUGCAUGAAAGUUCAAAAAGAGUGUCAGAAACCCUGCAGGAGAUCUACAGCAGUGAGUGGGACGGUCAUGAGGAGCUGAAGGCCAUCGUAGGGGUAAGAGUGGCUUGAGUUUUACAACUUAUUGGCACUUACUCCUGUUUGCAUCUCAACCUCAGCUUAGCUUCUCUAUCCAAGAAAAUAGGAAAACAAAGGAGCCAGUUCACACUGUGCAUUUGUGUAGCCUCAGUCACUGGGUGGUAGGAAGAAGCUACAACUCUUAAGGUAAAAACAAGUUUUCCCUAAUCUGUGGAUCCCUCUAAUUUUGACCCUCUUCUCCUCUUUAAAACAUUAUGGGAAGUUUUACCUCCUAAAGAUUGGUUGUUUUUUAAAACAAACUUCAUGCAGUUAUACACUCUUAAACUUUCCCAUCUAAGCUCUGGAGUCCAAGGCUUUGACCUUGUGCCCUGUUCUUAAUCUCUGAAUGUAUGUUCAGACUCCCAUAGAGCAGUUCCUUGGGGUAGGGGCUGUCUCUUUUCUUCCUCUGACUAGUCCCCGGAAUCCAACAUGGUAUUCUAAAUACGGUGCUACAAAAAAGGUUUUUGCAGGGAGAAUUUGGGUAUUUCCCUGGUAGGCAGUUGCUGUUGGGAAGUGGAGCCUUCACCAGCCUCUGACUCUAUCCUACAGAAUAAUGAUCUCCUUUGGGAAGACUACGAGGAGAAACUGGCUGACCAGGCUGUGAGGACCAUGGACAACUAUGUUGCCCAGUUCAGUGAAAUUAAGGAGAGAAUUGCCAAGCGGGGUCGGAAACUCGUGGACUAUGACAGUGCCCGACAUCACCUGGAGGCAGUUCAGAAUGCCAAGAAGAAAGAUGAGGCCAAGACUGCCAAGGCAGAGGAAGAGUUCAACAAAGCCCAGACUGUGUUUGAAGAUCUGAACCAAGAACUACUAGAGGAGCUGCCUAUUCUUUAUAAUAGUCGUAUUGGCUGCUAUGUGACCAUCUUCCAAAACAUUUCCAACUUGAGGGAUGUCUUCUACAGGGAAAUGAGCAAGCUGAACCACAAUCUCUACGAGGUGAUGAGCAAACUGGAGAAGCAACAUUCCAAUAAAGUCUUUGUGGUGAAGGGACUGUCAAGCAGCAGCAGGCGCUCUUUAGUCAUUUCUCCCCCAGUUCAAACAGCUACAGUCUCCAGUCCUCUUACCUCACCUACUAGUCCCUCUACACUUUCCUUGAAGAGUGAGAGUGAAUCUGUCUCAGCAACUGAAGAUCUGGCACCUGACGCAGCCCAGGGGGAAGACAAUUCUGAGAUCAAGGAGCUCUUAGAAGAGGAGGAAAUAGAGAAGGAAGGAUCUGAAGCAAGCUCCUCUGAGGAAGAUGAGCCUCUACCAGCCUGCAAUGGCCCCGCCCAGGCUCAGCCCUCUCCUACCACUGAGAGUGCCAAGUCCCAGGAGGAAGUUCUCCCCAGCUCCCCAGCUCCAUCACCAGGCGGAGCCCUGAGCCCUUCAGGGCAGCCUUCAUCAUCUGCCGCAGAAGUAGUCCUCCGAACCCGCACCGCAAGUGAAGGAUCUGAACAACCAAAGAAGAGAGCCUCUAUCCAGAGGACCUCAGCACCCCCUAGUAGGCCUCCUCCACCCAGAGCCACUGCAAGCCCCAGGCCCUCCUCAGGGAACAUACCUUCCAGCCCUACAGCCUCUGGAGGGGGUUCACCCACCAGCCCUAGGGCCUCCUUGGGGACUGGGACUCCAAGUCCUAGGACCUCCCUAGAGGUCUCUCCUAAUCCAGAACCACCAGAGAAGCCAGUAAGAACUCCUGAGGCCAAAGAAAAUGAAAACAUCCACAAUCAGAACCCCGAAGAACUUUGUACUUCCCCCACCUUAAUGACAUCUCAGGUUGCUUCAGAGCCUGGAGAGGCAAAGAAGAUGGAAGACAAGGAAGAGGAUAAUAAGCUUAUCUCAGCUGACUCCUCAGAGGGCCAAGACCAGCUUCAAGUCUUCACGGUACCAGAAAACAACAACCUCACAGCACCUGAACCUCAAGAAGAGGUAUCUACAAGUGAAAAUCCACAACUCUGAAGAGAAACUGCCAAGACUCCUCCUGCCCCAAACCUCACCAGAGAAGCUCUUCAACCAGAGGGUAUAGGUCAGAGGGAUAUAAGAGCCAGCAUCCAUCCCUGGGUUCUCAGUAGGAAUGCUGGUGCUGUCUAAAGACCUGGCAUUAAUGGAGGCGGAGGAGCAGCCUUAUGGGAGGGAUGGAGGGAGGCAGGCUGGGGAGAAGAGAACAUUAGACUCAGGGAAUAUUUAAUUCUGGUUUUAGCAUUAUUAGAAUAAGACUUUAUACAUUAACUAAAGUGGAGCUUUAAUCACUAUAAAAAGCAAAAGUAUCUAUAGACACAGACACUUGUCUAUACAGAGACAUAACCACACACACUCAGAGGAUAGUGAACAAAUCUGUCUUUGACUUACGACCCAUUUUGCAAGACUUAAAGCCAGAAGAACACAUUUUCAGAUUGUUAAAUAAAGUCUGAUUCUGACUA